AACUUUCAACAACGGAUCUCUUGGCUCUCGCAUCGAUGAAGAACGCAGCGAAAUGCGAUAAGUAAUGUGAAUUGCAGAAUUCAGUGAAUCAUCGAAUCUUUGAACGCACCUUGCGCCCCUUGGCAUUCCGAGGGGCACGCCUGUUUGAGUGUCGUGAACUCUUCCACCCUCUGCUUUCUUCGGAAGGCGUUGGGCUGGGAUUUGGGAGUUGCGGGUCCCUGGCCGAUCCGCUCUCCUUGAAUACAUUAGCGAAGCCCUUUGCGGCCUUGGUGUGAUAGUCAUCU
rnacentral:rRNA from 1 species